AUUGAACGCUGGCGGCAGGCCUAACACAUGCAAGUCGAGCGAGCGGCGGACGGGUGAGUAAUGUGUGGGAAACUGCCUGAUGGGGGGGGGUCACUACUGGAAAAGGUAGCUAAUAACGCAUACCAUCAGAUGUGCCCAGAUGGGAUUAGCUAGUGGGUGGGGUAAUGGCUCAACUAGGCGACGAUCCCUAGCUGGUCUGAGAGGAUGACCAGCCACACUGGAACUGAGACACGGUCCAGACUCCUACGGGAGGCAGCAGUGGGGAAUAUUCCACAAUGGGCGAAAGCCGGAUGCAGCCCUGCCGCGUGUAUGAAGAAGGCCUUCGGGUUGUAAAGUCCUUUCAGCGGGGAGGCGUUACCCACAGAAGAAGCACCGGCUAACUCCGUGCCAGCAGCCGCGGUAAUUC
rnacentral:rRNA from 1 species